rnacentral:rRNA from 1 species
UACGGAGGGUGCAAGCAUUAUUCGGAUUUAUUGGGCGUAAAGGGGGCGUAGGCUGGAGAGCAAGUCAGACGUGAAAUCCCGGGGCUUAACCCCGGAACUGCGUUUGAAACUACUUUUCUUGAGGAUAGACGGAGAAAACGGAAUUCCACAUGUAGCGGUGAAAUGCGUAGAUAUGAGGAAGAACACCCGUGGCGAAAGCGGUUUUCUAGUUUAUUCCUGACGCUAAGGCCCGAAAGCUAGGGGAGCAAACAGG